AACGAACGCUGGCGGCGUGCCUAACACAUGCAAGUCGGACGCGAAAGGGGGCAACCCCCGGUAGCGUGGCAGACGGGUGAGUAACACGUGGGUAACCUACCCGGAGGUGGGGGAUAACCCUUCGAAAGAGGGCUAAUACCGCAUGACAUCCCGGGGUCCUCGGACCCUGGGCUCAAAGCUAGCCUCUGUUUACAAGCUAGCGCCACCGGAGGGGCCCGCGGCCCAUUAGCUAGUUGGUGAGGUAACGGCUCACCAAGGCGACGAUGGGUAGCCGGCCUGAGAGGGCGACCGGCCACACUGGAACUGAGACACGGUCCAGACUCCUACGGGAGGCAGCAGUGAGGAAUAUUGCGCAAUGGGCGAAAGCCUGACGCAGCGACGCCGCGUGGAGGAUGAAGGUCUUCGGAUUGUAAACUCCUGUCGUCCGGGACGAAUGCCGGGGAGGUUAACAGCCUCUUCGGUUGACGGUACCGGAGGAGGAAGCCCCGGCUAACUCCGUGCCAGCAGCCGCGGUAAAAC
rnacentral:rRNA from 1 species